AUGGUCUAUAGAUGGUCUAUAACUAUAAAUGGUCUAUAGAUGGUCUAUAGAUGGUCUAUAACUAUAGAUGGUCUAUAGAGGGUCUGUAGAUGGUCUAUAACUAUAGAUGGUCUAUAGAUGGUCUAUAACUAUAGAUGGUCUAUAACUAUAGAUGGUCUAUAGAGGGUCUGUAGAUGGUCUAUAACUACAGAUGGUCUAUAGAUGGUCUAUAGAUGGUCUAUAACUAUAGAUGGUCUAUAGAUGGUCUAUAACUAUAGAUGGUCU